AGAGUUUGAUCCUGGCUCAGGACGAACGCUGGCGGCGUGCUUAACACAUGCAAGUCGAACGAGAAUCUACUGAAAGAGUUUUCGGACAAUGGAUGUAGAGGAAAGUGGCGGACGGGUGAGUAACGCGUGAGGAACCUGCCUUGAAGAGGGGGACAACAGUUGGAAACGACUGCUAAUACCGCAUGACGCAUAGAGGUCGCAUGAUCUUUAUGCCAAAGAUUUAUCGCUUCAAGAUGGCCUCGCGUCUGAUUAGCUGGUUGGCGGGGUAACGGCCCACCAAGGCGACGAUCAGUAGCCGGACUGAGAGGUUGAACGGCCACAUUGGGACUGAGAUACGGCCCAGACUCCUACGGGAGGCAGCAGUGGGGAAUAUUGGGCAAUGGGCGCAAGCCUGACCCAGCAACGCCGCGUGAAGGAAGAAGGCUUUCGGGUUGUAAACUUCUUUUAAGAGGGAAGAGCAGAAGACGGUACCUCUAGAAUAAGCCACGGCUAACUACGUGCCAGCAGCCGCGGUAAUACGUAGGUGGCAAGCGUUGUCCGGAUUUACUGGGUGUAAAGGGCGUGCAGCCGGGUCUGCAAGUCAGAUGUGAAAUCCAUGGGCUCAACCCAUGAACUGCAUUUGAAACUGUAGAUCUUGAGUGUCGGAGGGGCAAUCGGAAUUCCUAGUGUAGCGGUGAAAUGCGUAGAUAUUAGGAGGAACACCAGUGGCGAAGGCGGAUUGCUGGACGAUAACUGACGGUGAGGCGCGAAAGUGUGGGGAGCAAACAGGAUUAGAUACCCUGGUAGUCCACACUGUAAACGAUGAAU
rnacentral:rRNA from 1 species